rnacentral:rRNA from 1 species
ACGGAAGGCAGCAGUGGGGAAUAUUGGGCAAUGGGCGAAAGCCUGACCCAGCGACGCCGCGUGAAGGAAGAAGGUCUUCGGAUUGUAAACUUCUUUUAUGAGGGACGAAGGACGUGACGGUACCUCAUGAAUAAGCCACGGCUAACUACGUGCCAGCAGCCGCGGUAAUACGUAGGAGGCAAGCGUUAUCCGGAUUUACUGGGUGUAAAGGGCGCGUAGGCGGGGAUGCAAGUCAGGUGUGAAAUCUAUGGGCUUAACUCAUAAACUGCACUUGAACCUGUAUCUCUUUAGUGCUGGAGAGGUAGAUUGAAUUCCUUGUGUAGCGGUGAAAUGCGUAGAUAUAAGGAAGAACACCAGUGGCGAAGGCGAUCUACUGGACAGUAACUGACGCUGAGGCGCGAAAGCGUGGGGAGCAAACAGGAUUAGAUACCCUGGUA